rnacentral:rRNA from 1 species
GCCUAACACAUGCAAGUCGAGGGGCAGCAUAAAGAUAGUUUACUAUUUUGGUGGCGACCGGCGCACGGGUGAGUAACGCGUAUGCAACCUACCUUAUACAGGAGUAUAGCCCGAAGAAAUUCGGAUUAAUCCUCCAUAGUAUUUUCUAAUGGCAUCAUUUGGAAAAUUAAAGCUUCGGCGGUAUAAGAUGGGCAUGCGUCCUAUUAGCUAGAUGGUAAGGUAACGGCUUACCAUGGCAACGAUAGGUAGGGGGCCUGAGAGGGUGAUCCCCCACACUGGUACUGAGACACGGACCAGACUCCUACGGGAGGCAGCAGUGAGGAAUAUUGGGCAAUGGAGGCAACUCUGACCCAGCCAUGCCGCGUGCAGGAAGAAUGCCCUAUGGGUUGUAAACUGCUUUUAUUUAGGAAUAAACCCUUCUACGUGUAGAAGGCUGAAUGUACUAAACGAAUAAGCACCGG